rnacentral:rRNA from 1 species
GAUGAACGCUGGCGGCGUGCUUAACACAUGCAAGUCGAACGGAAAGGCCACAGCUUGCUGUGGUACUCGAGUGGCGAACGGGUGAGUAACACGUGGGUGAUCUGCCCUGUACUUCGGGAUAAGCUUGGGAAACUGGGUCUAAUACCGGAUAGGAAUCACAUGUGGGUGUGUGGUUGGAAAGCUUUUGCGGUAUGGGAUGAGCUCGCGGCCUAUCAGCUUGUUGGUGGGGUAAUGGCCUACCAAGGCGUCGACGGGUAGCCGGCCUAGAGGGUGUACGGCCACAUUGGGACUGAGAUACGGCCCAGACUCCUACGGGAGGCAGCAGUGGGGAAUAUUGCACAAUGGGCGCAAGCCUGAUGCAGCGACGCCGCGUGGGGGAUGACGGCCUUCGGGUUGUAAACUCCUUUCGUCAGGGACGAAGCGAAAGUGACGGUACCUGGAUAAGAAGCACCGGCUAACUACGUG